AGAAUUACAAAGUUUACUUUUAAAAUUUUUAGACUUUCUAUUUAGGAUCAAUUUAUUAUAAUGUUCUCUUCUAUACUCUUUAAAUGACAAACUUUUUAUCAAUAAUCACAUUAAACAAUUUGCUAUUAAAAGUAAACUCUGAACGUGUCAAUUUUCAUUACUAUCUAACAGUUUUACCGUGCAUAAUGUCAAAUGUAUUUUGUCAUUCUGCAUAUCGUAUUUCGUAAUUAUUACCAUGCAAUCUUUAGAGAAGAAAAAAGCUAUACGGUUAUACGAAUUCUCUCAUUACAACAUAAAAAUAAUUUCGCAACUGAAAAUCUUAAGCUGCUGCUCGAUUAUAGAUAUGGGAGUGCAAGAAAAAUCAAACGACUCUAACCUCGCUACACCCAAUCAUGCGAUGCCACAAUACAAGAGAGCUACUUAGUCUCCGGUUACGUUGAGCCGCACCGCUACGCUACCUUGGCGAGACACGUUGCCCCGUGCCAUCGACGUGCGAGUUUGCUUUGUAGCCACAUUUUUGUACACGUCUAGACAGUCUUGCGACCCAAUAUUUCUGUUCGUCAGGACUACCAGCCAAUAUUAAUAAUUCACGAGCACUGUUUGGAUCGUAAUGUAAUUUGCAGGGUGCUAUGGCAUCUUCCUUUUUGUCCAAAUGCUCCUUAUGAACUUUUAUACGACACCCUGUACACACGCAAUAACAAUUUCAUUACAUAUUUUGUUAUAAGUAAUUUUUUAUUUUAUGGGGCAGAUUUUUUAUUUUGCUUGUUGACCAAAGAAAACGGAUCAUGUCACAUCGUUAUGAAUUUAAUAAAAUUUAUUACAA